AGCAGUCACUUCUGCAGCUCAUAUACUAAAAUGGAAUAAUACAGAGAGGAUCAGCAUGACGCCUGUGAAGGACGACGGGCAAGAAGCAGUCGUGCACAUUUGU
rnacentral:snRNA from 1 species